UACGUAGGGUGCAAGCGUUGUCCGGAAUUAUUGGGCGUAAAGAGCUCGUAGGCGGUCUGUUGCGUCGGCUGUGAAAACCCGGGGCUCAACUCCGGGCCUGCAGCCGAUACGGGCAGACUAGAAUUCGGCAGGGGAGACGUGGAAUUCCUGGUGUAGCGGUGAAAUGCGCAGAUAUCAGGAGGAACACCGGUGGCGAAGGCGGGUCUCUGGGCCGAUACUGACGCUGAGGAGCGAAAGCGUGGGGAGCGAACAGG
rnacentral:rRNA from 1 species